AGGGCCGUAGCACAACUGGCAGUGCACCGGAUUCCAAAUCCGGCGGUUGGGGGUUCGAGUCCCUCCGGCCCUGCCA
rnacentral:tRNA from 1 species